rnacentral:rRNA from 1 species
GACGAACGCUGGCGGCGUGCUUAACACAUGCAAGUCGAACGAAGUGGCGAACGGGUGAGUAACGCGUAAUCAACCUGCCCUUCAGAGGGGGAUAACAGUUGGAAACGACUGCUAAUACAUCAUACUUAAGGUGGGGAUUGCGUCUGAUUAGCUCGUUGGCGGGGUAAAGGCCCACCAAGGCGACGAUCAGUAGCUGGUCUGAGAGGAUGAUCAGCCACACUGGGACUGAGACACGGCCCAGACUCCUACGGGAGGCAGCAGUGGGGAAUUUUGGACAAUGGGCGAAAGCCUGAUCCAGCCAUGCCGCGUGUCUGAAGAAGGCCUUCGGGUCGUAAAGCACUUUUGUCAGGGAAGCGGUACCUGAAGAAUAAGCACCGGCUAACUACGUGCCAGCAGCCGCGGUAAUAC